UCACCUGAGAGUCAAUGGACAACGAUCAAAUUUCACCUUGAGCAGGUUCUUUUGUUUACUUUCUAGUCACAAAUAGCUUGGCCCUAAGUGGCGGCUCCCAUUCUGGCAUGCUUUUCUCAUGGGUAUAUUCAGAGACGAGGAAUGUUUGUUCACUGGUGAAGAGAACCUCCCAUGUACUAUCGUGUAGAAGUUGUAGUAGACGCUGUGGUCUUUCCAACAACAAACAAAGUAAGCUUUUGAAGUUUUAUUAUCAAGUAUGACAACCUCUGUAGGGUUUUCUUGAGAUACCCUUUAUCGGAUAAACGAAACUUCUCUCCGUAGUUUGCUACCAAUUUUAUUUUGAACAGGUGUUGAAAAUACCAAGUGCUCAUUUUGUGCCUACCGAGAUGCU